GGGGUCGUGGGGUAGACUGGUCUAUCCUUCUGGCUUCGGGAGCCAGAGACCUGGGUUCAAAUCCCGGCGACCCCACCA
rnacentral:tRNA from 1 species